rnacentral:rRNA from 1 species
AUAACUUUCAACGAUGGAUAUCUUGGCUCUUGCAACGAUGAAGAACGCAGCGAAAUGCGAUACGUAAUGCGAAUUGCAGAACUCAGUGAAUCAUCAAAUCUUUGAACGCACAUUGCGCUUCCGGGUAUCCCUGGGAGCAUGCCUGUUUCAGUGUCUGUAACACCCCUCAUCCACUCUUCUCUGUCUUUUGUCAUUUCACGAUGGCAAGGCGGGGUUGAUUGUGAUGGACUGAUGAGCAUACCCAGUUGCUGCCAUAGCAUCUGUGUUGCUUGAAGUGUGUAAACAUGCGCCAAUGGGUGACGGUGAAAAGUUGUCUUUUCUCCUCGCUUGCUGCAUGGUGUGGUAGUUGUCCCAGCAAUGGGAUUGCAACAUAUGCCCCCAAGCAGUGUUAACAAGUGGGUUGAUGGAAGGACGAACGCUACAAGUAACUGUUCACAACUGAAUCAUUGGAGUACCGUGGUGUUGGUGCCUUGAGUGGCCCGCCCCCAACACAUUCAACACUGGACCUGAAAUCAGGCAAGAGGACCCGCUGGAUUUAAGCAUAUAACUAAGCGGAGGAAAAGAAACUAACAAGGAUUCCCCUAGUAACGGCGAGUGAAGAGGGACCAGCUCAGCUUGUAAAUCUCCAUGUGGUUUCCACGUGCGAGAGUUGUAGCGUGUAGACGAGGUCACCAGCAGCGGCCUGAGGAUAAUUUGCCUGGGAUGGCGAAUCAUAGAGGGUGACAAUCCCGUCUGUGCCUCGGAGCCCGCUGUCGUACGGUGCUCGUUCUUCGAGUCGAGUUGCUUGGGAUUGCAGCUCUAAGUGGGUGGUAAGUUCCAUCUAAAGCUAAAUAUGGGCAAGAGACCGAUAGCGAACAAGUACCGUGAGGGAAAGAUGAAAAGAACUUUGAAAAGAGAGUUAAAUAGUGCUUGAAAUCGUUGAAAGGGAACCGCUUGGAACCAGAGUGUGGGUCCCUUAUAUUACACGGUACGGGAGCAAUCCAGUCUGUGCUACGUAAGGCCCAUUGGUCAGCAUGGGUUGGUCUCGCGGGAGGCGUCUGGCAGGAAGGUGGGGUCACGAUCGGUUCGCCGUGCUGUGCCCGGUUAUAGCCUGCUAGUUCACGCCGCGGGAUCGACUGAGGGAAGAAAGUGUCCGCCACUAGGCUGCCGUAUCCGUAAGCUGGCUGGGCUUCGUGUGACCACAGCAUGCUGUGCAACGCGAAGUGUUGGUCAUUCUGCGGUGAGGCAAGGGCGCUGGAGAUGCUGGCAAAAUGGUUUCAAUCGACCCGUCUUGAAACACGGACCAAGGAGUCUAGCAUAUGUGCGAGUGUUUGGGUGUCAAACCCGUAACGCGUAAUGAAAGUAAAUGCCGAUGCUUCGUGCGGAGGCGUAGGUGAGAGGGUUGGCCCCCGGGCUGGCCCGCAUCAUCAACCGACCAUGAUUCUUUGAUGAAAGGUUUGAGUCUGAGCAUAUCUGCUGGGACCCGAAAGAUGGUGAACUAUGCCUGAAUAGGGCGAAGCCAGGGGAAACCCUGGUGGAGGCUCGUAGGGAUUCUGACGUGCAAAUCGAUCUUCAAAUUUGGGUAUAGGGGCGAAAGACUAAUCGAACCAUCUAGUAGCUGGUUCCCUCCGAAAUUUCCCUUAGGAUAGCUGCAACUUGUACAGUUUUAUCAGGUAAAGCGAAUGAUUAGAGGCUUCCGGGUCGAAAUGAUCUGGACCUAUUCUCAAACUUUAAAUGGGUAAGAACCGGCACUUGCUUAAGUGAAGUGUCGAGUCGAAUGGAAGUUGUUAGUGGGCCAUAGCUGGUAAGCAGCUCUGGCGAUGCGGGAUGAACCGAACGUGAUGUUAAAGUGCCAGAGUGCCCGCUCAUCAGAUCCCACAAAAGGUGUUGGUUCAUAUAGACAGCAGGACGGUGGCCAUGGAAGUCGGAAUCCGCUAAGGAGUGUGUAACAACUCACCUGCCGAAUGAACUAGCCCUGAAAAUGGAUGGCGCUGAAGCGGGCCACUUAUACAUCACCAUCAGAGCAAGAUGUAGGCUUUGAUGAGUAGGAGGGCGUGGGGCUCGUGACGCAGCCUUCGGCGUGAGCCGGGGUGAAACGUGCUCUAGUGCAGAUCUUGGUGAUAGUAGCAAAUAUUCAAAUGAGAACUUUGAAGACUGAAGUGGAGAAAGGUUUGACGUGAACAGUACUUGGACGUCAGUGAGCCGCUCCUAAGAGAUAGGGUAACUCCGUUCGGAAGUGGGCCAUUUCACGAUGGCCCCGCCUAUCGAAAGGGAACCAGGUUAAUAUUCCUGGGCCAGGACGUGGAUAACGUGUGGCAACACAAAUGAACUCGGAGACGUCAGAGGGAGCCCCGGGAAGAGUUCUCUUUUCUUGUUAACAGCCUAUUACCCUGGAAUCGGUUUACCCGGAGAGAGGGUUAAAUGGUUGGUAAAGCAGACGGAUCUUCCGUCUGUCCGGUGCGCUUCCGACGGCCCUUGAAAAUCCGAGGGAGAGACUUUAUUCGCACCCCUGGGCGUACUC